AUGAACGCUAGCGACAGGCUUAACACAUGCAAGUCGAGGGGCAGCGGGGUGUAGCAAUACACCGCCGGCGACCGGCGCACGGGUGAGUAACGCGUAUGCAACUUGCCUAUCAGAGGGGGAUAACCCGGCGAAAGUCGGACUAAUACCGCAUGAAGCAGGGGUCCCGCAUGGGGAUAUUUGCUAAAGAUUCAUCGCUGAUAGAUAGGCAUGCGUUCCAUUAGGCAGUUGGCGGGGUAACGGCCCACCAAACCGACGAUGGAUAGGGGUUCUGAGAGGAAGGUCCCCCACAUUGGUACUGAGACACGGACCAAACUCCUACGGGAGGCAGCAGUGAGGAAUAUUGGUCAAUGGGCGCGAGCCUGAACCAGCCAAGUCGCGUGAGGGAUGAAGGUUCUAUGGAUCGUAAACCUCUUUUAUAAGGGAAUAAAGUGCGGGACGUGUCCCGUUUUGUAUGUACCUUAUGAAUAAGGAUCGGCUAACUCCGUGCCAGCAGCCGCGGUAAUACGGAGGAUCCGAGCGUUAUCCGGAUUUAUUGGGUUUAAAGGGUGCGUAGGCGGCCUUUUAAGUCAGCGGUGAAAGUCUGUGGCUCAACCAUAGAAUUGCCGUUGAAACUGGGGGGCUUGAGUAUGUUUGAGGCAGGCGGAAUGCGUGGUGUAGCGGUGAAAUGCUUAGAUAUCACGCAGAACCCCGAUUGCGAAGGCAGCCUGCCAAGCCAUGACUGACGCUGAUGCACGAAAGCGUGGGGAUCAAACAGGAUUAGAUACCCUGGUAGUCCACGCAGUAAACGAUGAUCACUAGCUGUUUGCGAUACAGUGUAAGCGGCACAGCGAAAGCGUUAAGUGAUCCACCUGGGGAGUACGCCGGCAACGGUGAAACUCAAAGGAAUUGACGGGGGCCCGCACAAGCGGAGGAACAUGUGGUUUAAUUCGAUGAUACGCGAGGAACCUUACCCGGGUUUGAACGCAUUCGGACCGAGGUGGAAACACCUUUUCUAGCAAUAGCCGUUUGCGAGGUGCUGCAUGGUUGUCGUCAGCUCGUGCCGUGAGGUGUCGGCUUAAGUGCCAUAACGAGCGCAACCCUUGCCACUAGUUACUAACAGGUGAUGCUGAGGACUCUGGUGGGACUGCCAGCGUAAGCUGCGAGGAAGGCGGGGAUGACGUCAAAUCAGCACGGCCCUUACAUCCGGGGCGACACACGUGUUACAAUGGCGUGGACAAAGGGAGGCCACCUGGCGACAGGGAGCGAAUCCCCAAACCACGUCUCAGUUCGGAUCGGAGUCUGCAACCCGACUCCGUGAAGCUGGAUUCGCUAGUAAUCGCGCAUCAGCCAUGGCGCGGUGAAUACGUUCCCGGGCCUUGUACACACCGCCCGUCAAGCCAUGGGAGCCGGGGGUACCUGAAGUCCGUAACCGCGAGGAUCGGCCUAGGGUAAAACUGGUGACUGGGGCU
rnacentral:rRNA from 1 species